CUCUUAUCGAGAGUGGCAGAGGGACUAGGCCCUGUGACGCCCGGCAACCUUCAAGUAGAUACUUGAAAAGGUGCUAAUUCCUACAGAUCUAUGGAUCUGGAAGAUAAGUG
rnacentral:ncRNA from 2 species